CCCCUGGCCUCAGCGCCCUCUCCGCGGGUUCGCGCCGCGGGCACCAAGUUCUGGUCAGCCGCGACCCCGAGGCCGACUGCCCGCCGGCGUGAGGGGACAGGUGCGAAGUAGCGCGGGAGAGUCCCCGGCAAAGUUUGGUUGAGGCACCAGAAUACAGAAGAUUUCUAGACAAAGAGACUCUUAAAGGUUUUGUUAUUUUCUUUACGGCGCAGCGGCAGCCAGCGAACCCUGGAGUUCCCGAGGCAGCAUUUGCAAAAGUUAACUCUUGGCGCCCAGACAGGCACACACGUGUGGACUCUUGCCACUGAUGACCCAGGCGGGAUUCAGCUGUUUUUAUGAAAAUCAUCUUCAACCGGAGGAUUUUGAUCUUUGCCCCCAAAUGGGGACUGGGAAAUAAAUCAGAUCGAGGUGACAGUGGCCCUAAGGACUUCUGAGAAGGAUGAAGUCUAUUCUGAAACAGAAAGGAAAGACUGGCUUGCAAGGACCUGAGCCGCUUCUUAUGUAGGAGCCUAGAGUCCCUGUUUGCCGCAUUUAACUUCAGUGUUUUCAGGAGUUUGUAUGUUCAAAAUUCUGUCUGCACAUUGUCUCAUCCACAAAAGAUUUGAGGCAACCUAUAGAAAGUUCAAAGUAG
rnacentral:lncRNA from 1 species